rnacentral:tRNA from 1 species
GCGGCUGUAGUUCAUUGGUAGAACGGCAGCUUCCCAAGCUGCAUAGGGGGGUUCGAUUCCCCUCAGCCGCUCCA